rnacentral:lncRNA from 1 species
UAACCCUCAAGGACCCGAGCAAGCUUGGGUACCCAAAAUGAAAAUAUGAGGGUAUAGAUGUAGGUGUGCCAAGCUACCCAUGGAACAAAUGAAAUUUUCAUACAAAUGGGUGCAUUGACACAUAAUUAAAGAUAAGUCUAAAUUUAUUCAUUAGAUCUAGUAUAAGAUUUAACAUUCUACAUCGUGUAUCAAAAUUAUCCUUUUAUAAAAUUACGAUACUCUCUGCAUCAAAGUUUUUAAAUGCCUCAUAUGUUAAAUCUUAUCUCAACGAUUUUAGCAUGAAACUUUCUAGUGCUUGCAUCAUGAUAAGAAAACAAUGAAUGGAUAUAUAUA